rnacentral:rRNA from 1 species
GACGUAGGGCGCGAGCGUUGUCCGGAUUUAUUGGGCGUAAAGAGCUCGUAGGCGGUUCAUUGCGUCAAUCGUGAAAUCCUGUGGCUCAAGCUACAGGCUGCGGUUGAUGACGGGUGGGCUGGAGUUCGGUAGGGGAGACUGGAAUUCCUGGUGUAGCGGUGAAAUGCGCAGAUAUCAGGAGGAACACCGGUGGCGAAGGCGGGUCUCUGGGCCGAUGACUGACGUGAGGAGCGAAAGCGUGGGGAGCGAACAGG